rnacentral:misc_RNA from 1 species
CGCACCUUGCGCUCUCCUGGACUUACAUCCGGAGAGCAUGCCUGUCUGAGGGCCGCGAAUACCUUCGAACGACUACUUUUGCAAAAGAGUGGACGGAUCGGUACUGGGAACUGCCAUUUGCACUGGCUUUCUCGAAAUACAUCAGCUGGACUGCUCAUGCUUGGAAGGAGACAUGCUCUCCCUCUGUGAUUUGAUAAUUAUCAACUUUGCAGAGGUGUAUGAUGUCUCUUGCACCCAACGUGUGGCAAUGCCGGCUUUGAACCACGCUGUGCGCGUGCGCACAGCUGAUUUUAUUCUAAAACGGCCUCAGAUCAGGUAGGACUACCCGCUGAACUUAA